CCCAAUCCCACUACUACACUACUUGGAUAUUAAUUUAAUUAUUUAGAUCUAAUCUAAAUAAUUAUAAUCAGAUUAAUAUCAAAUUAUAUGCAGAAAAUUUAUGUCAUAAGAAACCAAAGCUCUGAUACCAUUUGAAGGAAAAAUAGACAGUUUAAAGCAUACAUUUUUAAAAAUUUUAUAGAGAAAGAUAGUAGAUUAAAUAUUUUAAUCUCCUACAUAUACUUUAGAUCUGAUCUAAACUACCUACUAAGGAUCUAUGACAUAAAAUUUUAAAAUAAAAUUUGAUGUAAAAAAAAACUGCAUCGAUCACAUCGAUGCCUUGUAUCAGAUCUAAUCACUAGA
rnacentral:lncRNA from 1 species